UACGUAGGGUGCGAGCGUUGUCCGGAAUUACUGGGCGUAAAGAGCUCGUAGGCGGUGUGUCGCGUCGGCCGUGAAAACCUGCAGCUUAACUGUGGGCGUGCGGUCGAUACGGGCAUCACUGGAGUUCGGCAGGGGAGACUGGAAUUCCUGGUGUAGCGGUGAAAUGCGCAGAUAUCAGGAGGAACACCGGUGGCGAAGGCGGGUCUCUGGGCAGUAACUGACGCUGAGGAGCGAAAGCGUGGGGAGCAAACAGG
rnacentral:rRNA from 1 species